rnacentral:rRNA from 1 species
UACGGGGGGGGCAAGCGUUGUUCGGAAUUACUGGGCGUAAAGGGUUCGUAGGUGGCCAACUAAGUCAUACGUGAAAUCCCUCAGCUUAACUGGGGAACUGCGUCUGAUACUGGUUGGCUUGAGUGCAGGAGAGGAACGCGGAAUUCCAGGUGUAGCGGUGAAAUGCGUAGAUAUCUGGAGGAACACCGGUGGCGAAGGCGGCGUUCUGGACUGCAACUGACACUGAGGAGCGAAAGCCAGGGGAGCAAACGGG